AGUGAACGCUGGCGGUAGGCCUAACACAUGCAAGUCGAACGGCAGCACAGUAAGUGCUUGCUCUUGCGGGUUGCGAGUGGCGGACGGGUGAGGAAUACAUCGGAAUCUACAUUUUCGUGGGGGUUAACGUAGGGAAACUUACUCUAAUACCGCAUACGACCUUCGAGUGAAUGCAGGGGAUCUUCGGACCUUGCGCGCUUGAAUAAGCCGAUGUGGGGUUAGCUAGUUGUCGGGGUAUAGGCCCACAAAGGCGACGCUCUGUAGCUGGUCGGAGAGGAUGUUCGGCAACACUGGAACUGAGCAACGGUCCGGACUCCUAGGGGAGGAACCAGAGGGGAAUUUCGGACAAUGGGCGAAAGCCGGAUCCAGACAGACCGCGUGGGUGAAGAAGGCCUUCGGGUGGUAAAGCCCGUUUGUUGGGAAGGAAAAGCAGCAGGUUAAUACGCCGAUGUUGUGACGGUACCCAAAGAAUAAGCACCGGCUAACUUCGUG
rnacentral:rRNA from 1 species